CCUACGGGUGGCAGCAGUGAGGAAUAUUGGUCAAUGGACGGAAGCCUGAACCAGCCAUGCCGCGUGCAGGAAGACGGCUCUCUGAGUUGUAAACUGCUUUUGUACAAGGGUAAAUCUGAAUACGUGUAUUCAGCUGAAAGUACUGUAAGAAUAAGGAUCGGCUAACUCCGUGCCAGCAGCCGCGGUAAUACGGAGGAUCCAAGCGUUAUCCGGAUUUAUUGGGUUUAACGGGUGCGUAGACGGAUUGAUAAGUUAGAGGUGAAAUGUUCGGGCUUAACUUGGGAACUGCCUUUGAAACUGAGGAUCUAGAGAGUAGAUGCGGUAGGCGGAAUGUAUGGUGUAGCGGUGAAAUGCUUAGAGAUCAGAAAGAACACCGAUUGCGAAGGCAGCUUACUAAUCUGUAACUGACGUUGAGGCACGAAAGCGUGGGGAGCAAACAGGAUUAGAUACCCGGGUAGUC
rnacentral:rRNA from 1 species